UACGUAGGGGGCUAGCGUUGUCCGGAAUCAUUGGGCGUAAAGCGCGCGUAGGCGGCCAGAUAAGUCCGGUGUGAAAGUCACAGGCUCAACCUGUGAAUGCCGCUGGAAACUGUCUGGCUUGAGUCCGGAAGGGGCGAGUGGAAUUCCUGGUGUAGCGGUGAAAUGCGCAGAUAUCAGAGGAACACCGGUGGCGAAGGCGGUUCUCUGGGCCUUACCUGACACUGAGGAGCGAAAGCGUGGGGA
rnacentral:rRNA from 1 species